CUACGAGGACGAACGCUGGCGGCGCGCCUAACACAUGCAAGUCGAACGAGAGAUGAAGAGCUUGCUCUUCAAAUCGAGUGGCGAACGGGUGAGUAACGCGUGAGGAACCUGCCUCAAAGAGGGGGACAACAGUUGGAAACGACUGCUAAUACCGCAUAAGCCCACGGCUCGGCAUCGAGCAGAGGGAAAAGGAGCAAUCCGCUUUGAGAUGGCCUCGCGUCCGAUUAGCUAGUUGGUGAGGUAACGGCCCACCAAGGCGACGAUCGGUAGCCGGACUGAGAGGUUGAACGGCCACAUUGGGACUGAGACACGGCCCAGACUCCUACGGGAGGCAGCAGUGGGGAAUAUUGCACAAUGGGGGAAACCCUGAUGCAGCGACGCCGCGUGGAGGAAGAAGGUCUUCGGAUUGUAAACUCCUGUUGUUGAGGAAGAUAAUGACGGUACUCAACAAGGAAGUGACGGCUAACUACGUG
rnacentral:rRNA from 1 species